rnacentral:lncRNA from 1 species
UGAAAAGAUCUGAUGAUUUUGUACAGGGGAAUUUCCCUGCACAAGCUCUCUUCUCUUGUCUGCCACCAUGCGAGACAUGGCUUUCACCUUCUGCAGUGAUUGUGAGGCUUCCCUAGCCACAUGGAACUAUGGUGUCAGAAGUGGGAUCUGAAGUAGAGCCUUAACAAUCCCCAAGAGUGCUGAGUGAACAAGCAAGGUACCUGCAAGGACCUACUUUUGUCCUUUGAUCUCUCAAAGUGGCUGGGGAUCAUGGUGAAGGCCCCUCAUGCAUAAUAAAGCAGAGAAGAAUGUAAAAGGUUGCUACAUCAAUAAUCAAUUUCUGGUGAGCAUAAUUAUAGGUAAUGUAAAAUGAGACAAUAUUGCUUUUCAUCAUUUCUUGAAAGAACUCUUACAGUCCAUGAUUUUGAAAAAAGAAAUCUAAGUUCACUCUUUCUUUUCUAUAACAAAAAGUCAUUAUCCAGUAGAAGUUCAAGAGUAAAAUCUGAAGGCAGCUUAUCUGACGUGGGCACAUGUUCUUGCCACUUGUUAAAUAUAACUUUCUAACACUAACUUCUCCAGACCUCAGAUUUUCAACUCUCUAAAAUGGAAAACUCUAGAACUGCAGCUGAACUGAGCAUUUUAGGGAAGAAACAAACAUACACACGAUAUAUAUAUAGUCAGAUUAUGAACCCAGUGUAGCCCAGUAUGCAAAAAUUUCUCAGUAACAGAGAUCCCCAAGAGAAAAAUAUGAUUUAGCCUAUCUCAGUGGCCUUUCAUGUGGCAAAUUAAAAGUUAAAGUCCAUAAUGAGAAAUAUAUGGGCAGCCAGUGACACCAUCCAUUUAAUGUAGACUUUCAACAUCUCUGACAGUCAUUCUCUGUUGUACCCCAACCUGCUUAUAUAUUGGGGUGAUAUCACCUUUUGAUCAUAACAUACAUAAACCUCAACCUCAAUAAGAAAUAUUUAUGGACAACCAGAUAUUCUGUGUUUCCAGUCAAAACUCAGGUAGAUCACAUUUUAUGUGACAGGAGAAGGCACAGUCGAUGCCCAGUUAACCCGGAGAUCAUCUCUGCCUGCAGCUUCCUAUCAUCAUAGCAAGCUCUUUCCCUGCAGUCCACCGUCUGUAUCUGCCCUUUGCUAUAUAGAUAGCAGAAAUAAGCAUCUGAAAAGAUGCUCAACACCAUAUGUCACUAGGGAGUUCAAAUUAAA